UGGGGAAUAUUGGACAAUGGACCAAGAGUCUGAUCCAGCAAUUCUGUGUGCACGAUGAAGUUUUUCGGAAUGUAAAGUGCUUUCAGUUGGGAAGAAAAAAAUGACGGUACCAACAGAAGAAGUGACGGCUAAAUACGUGCCAGCAGCCGCGGUAAUACGUAUGUCACGAGCGUUAUCCGGAUUUAUUGGGCGUAAAGCGCGUCUAGGUGGUUAUGUAAGUCUGAUGUGAAAAUGCAGGGCUCAACUCUGUAUUGCGUUGGAAACUGUAUAACUAGAGUACUGGAGAGGUAAGCGGAACUACAAGUGUAGAGGUGAAAUUCGUAGAUAUUUGUAGGAAUGCCGAUGGGGAAGCCAGCUUACUGGACAGAUACUGACGCUGAAGCGCGAAAGCGUGGGUAGCAAACAGGAUUAGAUACCCUGGUAGUCCACGCCGUAAACGAUGAUUACUAGGUGUUGGGGGUCGAACCUCAGCGCCCAAGCAAACGCGAUAAGUAAUCCGCCUGGGGAGUACAUACGCAAGUAUG
rnacentral:rRNA from 1 species